rnacentral:rRNA from 1 species
AACCUGGUUGAUCCUGCCAGUAGUUAUAUGCUUGUCUCAAAGAUUAAGCCAUGCAUGUCUAAGUACAAACUAUAUCUUAUAGUGAAACCGCAAAAGGCUCAGUACAACAGCUAUUAUUUAUUUGAUUAUAAAAACAGUUACUUGGAUAACUGUGGUAAUUCCAGAGCUAAUACAUGCAAACAACAUGUCACACGGUGCUUGCAUUGUGAGACAUGUGCUUUUAUUAGAUUAAAACCAUAUCGACUUUCGGGUUGAUUACCUUUAGAUGAAUCUGGAUAAUUUUGGCUGAUCGUAUGGUCUCGUACCGACGACAUAUCAUUCAAAUGUCUGCCCUACCAACUAUUGAUGGUAGUAUAGAGGACUACCAUGGUUGCAACGGGUAACGGGGAAUCAGGGUUCGAUUCCGGAGAGGGAGCCUGAGAAACGGCUACCACAUCUAAGGAAGGCAGCAGGCGCGUAAAUUACCCAAUCCCGGCACGGGGAGGUAGUGACGAAAAAUAACAAUACAGGACUCACAUCCGAGGCCCUGUAAUUGGAAUGAGUACACUUUAAAUCCUUUAACGAGUAACAAUUGGAGGGCAAGUCUGGUGCCAGCAGCCGCGGUAAUUCCAGCUCCAAUAGCGUAUAUUAAAGUUGUUGCGGUUAAAACGUUCGUAGUUGAAUUUGUGUCCCACACGGGUAAUUGGCCCACUUACGGGUUCUUAUUACUUGCCGGCUUGCUGGCUUUAGUGUGCGGACGUUUUACCGGUGAGGGAAACGGUGUAGUUUCGGCUGCAAUACGCCCCUUAUUUAUUUCAUAAACCCGUCUUGGUGCUCUUAAUCGAGUGCCAAUGUGGGCCGGUACUAUUACUUUGAACAAAUUAGAGUGCUUAAAGCAGCUAAAUUUAAUGAAAGUUAAAACGCCUGAAUAUAUUUUGCAUGGAAUAAUGGAAUAGGACUCUGUUCUACUUUCAUUGGUUUUUAGACUAGAGGUAUGAUAAUAGAAGCAGUGGGGG